rnacentral:rRNA from 1 species
GAGGAAUAUUGCGCAAUGGAGGCAACUCUGACGCAGCCAUGCCGCGUGCAGGAAGAAGGCGCUACGCGUUGUAAACUGCUUUUAACCGGGAAGAAACCCCAGGACGUGUCCUGGGUUGACGGUACCGGAGGAAUAAGCACCGGCUAACUUCGUGCCAGCAGCCGCGGUAAUACGAAGGGUGCAAGCGUUAUCCGGAUUCAUUGGGUUUAAAGGGUGCGUAGGCGGGGCGUUAAGUCAGUGGUGAAAUCCUGCAGCUCAACUGUAGACUUGCCAUUGAUACUGGCGCUCUUGAGUGCGCUUGAAGUAGGCGGAAUGUGCCGUGUAGCGGUGAAAUGCUUAGAUAUGGCACAGAACACCAAUUGCGAAGGCAGCUUACUAAGGCGAUACUGACGCUGAGGCACGAAAGCGUGGGGAUCGAAC